UCGAGAAUUUUUCACAAUGGGCGCAAGCCUGAUGGAGCGACGCCGCGUGGGGGAUGAAGGGUUUCGAUCCGUAAACCCCUGUCAUUUGCGAACAAACCUUGAUUGUGAAGAGCGAUCAAGCUGAUUGUAGCGGAAGAGGAAGGGACGGCUAACUCUGUGCCAGCAGCCGCGGUAAUACAGAGGUCCCAAGCGUUGUUCGGAUUCACUGGGCGUAAAGGGUGCGUAGGUGGCCGGGAAAGUUCGGUGUGAAAGCUCGGAGCUCAACUCCGAAAUGGCACUGAAUACUAUCUGGCUGGAGGGUCGGAGGGGAGACUGGAAUUCUCGGUGUAGCAGUGAAAUGCGUAGAUAUCGAGAGGAACACCAGUGGCGAAGGCGAGUCUCUGGACGACACCUGACACUGAGGCACGAAAGCUAGGGGAGCAAA
rnacentral:rRNA from 1 species